rnacentral:rRNA from 1 species
GAUCCUGGCUCAGAUUGAACGCUGGCGGCAGGCCUAACACAUGCAAGUCGAACGGUAACAGGAAGCAGCUUGCUGCUUCGCUGACGAGUGGCGGACGGGUGAGUAGUGUCUGGGAAACUGCCUGAUGGAGGGGGGAUAACUACUGGAAACGGUAGCUAAUACCGCAUAACGUCGCAAGACCAAAGAGGGGGGACCUUCGGGCCUCUUGCCAUCGGAUGUGCCCAGAUGGGAUUAGCUAGUAGGG